rnacentral:rRNA from 1 species
GUGCCAGCAGCCGCGGUAAUACGGAGGGUGCAAGCGUUAAUCGGAAUUACUGGGCGUAAAGCGCACGCAGGCGGUCUGACAAGUCGGAUGUGAAAUCCCCGGGCUCAACCCGGGAACUGCAUUCGAAACUGUCAGGCUGGAGUCUUGUAGAGGGGGUAGAAUUCCAGGUGUAGCGGUGAAAUGCGUAGAGAUCUGGAGGAAUACCGGUGGCGAAGGCGGCCCCCUGGACAAAGACUGACGCUCAGGUGCGAAAGCGUGGGAGCAAACAGGAUUAGAUACCCCUGGUAGUCCCACGCUGUAAACGAUGUCGUACGUUGGGAGUUGUCGUCCCG